rnacentral:rRNA from 1 species
UGAGGAAUAUUGGUCAAUGGGCGAAAGCCUGAACCAGCCAUGCCGCGUGAAGGAAUAAGGCCCUAUGGGUCGUAAACUUCUUUUGUAUCGGAGCAAUAAGGGCCACGAGUGGUCCGAUGAGAUUACGAUACGAAUAAGCAUCGGCUAACUCCGUGCCAGCAGCCGCGGUAAUACGGGGGAUGCGAGCGUUAUCCGGAUUCAUUGGGUUUAAAGGGUGCGUAGGCGGCUUUGCAAGUCAGCGGUGAAAGGCCCGGGCUCAACCCGGAAAGUGCCGUUGAUACUGUGAGGCUGGAAUGCGGAUGCUGUGGGAGGAAUGAGUGGUGUAGCGGUGAAAUGCAUAGAUAUCACUCAGAACACCGAUUGCGAAGGCAUCUCACAAAUCCGCAAUUGACGCUGAGGCACGAAAGCGU